UACAGUGUGGUGUAGUGGUUUGAAUGUUGGACUAUGAUUCUAGAGACCAAGAUUCAAUUCAUGGCUCUGCCA